rnacentral:rRNA from 1 species
AAUCUUGCGCAAUGGCCGAAAGGCUGACGCAGCGACGCCGCGUGCGGGAGGACGCCCCUCGGGGUGUAAACCGCUGUCAGGGGGGACGAACCCCCAGCAUGGGAAUACUGUGCUGGGCUGACGGUACCCCCAGAGGAAGCGCCGGCUAACUCCGUGCCAGCAGCCGCGGUAAGACGGAGGGGGCGAGCGUUAUCCGGAAUUACUGGGCGUAAAGGGUGCGUAGGCGGCCUUUUAAGUCAGAUGUGAAAGGCUACGGCUUAACCGUAGUUAGCAUUUGAAACUAAAAGGCUUGAGUGCAGGAGAGGAGAGUGGAAUUCCUAGUGUAGCGGUGAAAUGCGUAGAUAUUAGGAGGAACACCAGUGGCGAAGGCGACUCUCUGGACUGCAACUGACGCUGAGGCACGAAAGCGUGGGGAGCGAACAG